rnacentral:rRNA from 1 species
CAGCCGCCACGGUAAUACGUAGGUCCCGAGCGUUGUCCGGAUUUAUUGGGCGUAAAGCGAGCGCAGGCGGUUAGAAAAGUCUGAAGUGAAAGGCAGUGGCUCAACCAUUGUAGGCUUUGGAAACUGUUUAACUUGAGUGCAGAAGGGGAGAGUGGAAUUCCAUGUGUAGCGGUGAAAUGCGUAGAUAUAUGGAGGAACACCGGUGGCGAAAGCGGCUCUCUGGUCUGUAACUGACGCUGAGGCUCGAAAGCGUGGGGAGCAAACAGGAUUAGAUACCCCAGUAGUCCCUGUCUCUUAUACA